ACUCAUUUUCCCUCUUGAGACCAUGGUGUGACCUGCAAGGUCGAAUGGAGACUGUAAGCGAGACAAUCUUGGAGUCACCUGCAUUCACUGGUCCAGUUGUUAGUCCAAUUACAGAUGGAGAUUAUAGAAGAGGAUGAUGUCUUUUCUCCAACAUCUUUCUAGACUGAUAAAAGAUCGAGACAGGCUUGACCAAAAGUUAACAGAGGGGCUUAUAUAGAGAAUGGUGAGCAGCUACACAUAAAAGAAGAACAUGGAGAAUCUGCCCAGAGGUGUUAACCAGCAAUGCAGCUAUACAACUAAAGUGAUGCAGGCGGAAACAAUGUGUAAUGCAGCUGCUGCAGAUGAAGAAUCCGUCCGUCUACCACUGAAGGAGACGCGGAAAAUCGGGAAAAGAUGUUCUUUGCCAGAGGAAGCAUUUGAUUAAUUUAAAGAUAUUGUGUUUCUUUGUAUGUUAUAGAAAAACGUUGCUUUUUUGCAUACACUCGUGUAAAUAUGCAUCUUAUGAAUGUUUUCCUUUGUCUAAUUUUAAUAAAUUUUACGCAAUCAA